UACAGAGGUCCCAAGCGUUGUUCGGAUUCACUGGGCGUAAAGGGUGCGUAGGUGGUGGGGUAAGUCGGAUGUGAAAUCUCCGGGCUCAACCCGGAAAUGGCAUUGGAAACUACCUUGCUGGAGGAUUUGAGGGGGGAUUGGUAUACUUGGUGUAGCAGUGAAAUGCGUAGAUAUCAAGUGGAACACCAGUGGCGAAGGCGAAUCCCUGGAAAAUACCUGACACUGAGGCACGAAAGCUAGGGGAGCAAACAGG
rnacentral:rRNA from 1 species